CCUACGUGUGGCUGCAGUGAGGAAUAUUGGUCAAUGGGCGGGAGCCUGAACCAGCCAUGCCGCGUGAAGGCGAGUGCCCUACGGGCGUUAAACUUCUUUUGUGCGGGAGCAAUAAGGGCCACGCGUGGCCCGAUGAGAGUACCGCACGAAUAAGCAUCGGCUAACUCCGUGCCAGCAGCCGCGGUAACACGGGGGAUGCGAGCGUUAUCCGGAUUGAUUGGGGUUAAAGGGUGCGCAGGCGGCGCUGCAGGGCAGCGGUGAAAGACAGGGGCUCAACACCGGGGCUGCCGUUGAAACCGGAGCGCUAGAAUUCCGAUGCGGACGGAGGAAUGUGUGGUGUAGCGGUGAAAUGCAUAGAUAUCAGACAGAACACCGAUUGCGAAGGCGUCUGACGAGUCGGAGAUUGACGCUGAUGCACGAAAGCGUGGGUAUCGAACAGGAUUAGAUACCCCGGUAGUC
rnacentral:rRNA from 1 species